GAUGAACGCUAGCGGCAGGCCUAACACAUGCAAGUCGAACGGUAACAGUCACGCUUUCGGGCGUGAGCUGACGAGUGGCGCACGGGUGCGUAACGCGUAUACAAUCUACCUUUUACAGGGGAAUAGCCUUUAGAAAUGAAGAAUAAUACCCCAUAGUAUUUCGAAACCGCAUGGUAUUGAGAUUAAAGAUUUAUCGGUAAAAGAUGAGUAUGCGUCCUAUUAGCUAGAUGGUGUGGUAACGGCACACCAUGGCAACGAUAGGUAGGGGCCCUGAGAGGGGGAUCCCCCACACUGGUACUGAGACACGGACCAGACUCCUACGGGAGGCAGCAGUGAGGAAUAUUGGACAAUGGGCGCGAGCCUGAUCCAGCCAUGCCGCGUGCAGGAAGACUGCCCUAUGGGUUGUAAACUGCUUUUAUACAGGAAGAAACCCACGCUCGUGAGCGUGGCUGACGGUACUGUAAGAAUAAGGAUCGGCUAACUCCG
rnacentral:rRNA from 1 species